UAGCCUAGCAGGUUAAGGAUUUGGCGUUGUCACUGAAGUGUCUCAGGUCACUGUUUUGGUGCAGAUUUGAUCCCUGGCCUUAGGAACUUCCACAUGCUGCAGGUGUUGGCCAAAAAAGAAAGGGAAUAUACCAUUCAUUUUGCUUCAUUUUAGAACUGCAGUACUCCAAUUUAAUCUUAAGAAAAAAAGAAUUUGGAGGAAUCAGAAGUUCUCAAUAACAACCAUUGUAAUCCUAGAUCACUAUGUUUGUUCACAUCACUUGGUUUAAAAAUGUGCACGUGGAAGGCUAUAGUUAUAAAUGUGAAAUGAGCCUGAGUCCUCAAAAGCAAGCUGAUCUUAGAACAUUUUUUAGAUGAUUGGGAUCCCAUUUUCCUAAGUUCUGAAAAAACAAGAAAGUUGCUAGAAUCCUAGCCCAAAUCCGUAGAAGAAUCUAAAAACACAAAGUAGGCGUUCCCUGGUUGUUCAGCAGAUUAAGGAUCCAUGUUGUCCCUGCUGUGACUCAGAUUGCUGCUGUGAUAAUGGGUUUGAUUUCUGCUCUGGGAACACCCGCAUGCUGCAGGCACAGCUCCCAUCACCCCCCCAAAAAAACACAAAGCAAAUUCUUGGAUUCCAUUUAGUUUAAUCCCCAAAAGGGAACGCCACUAAAUGCAUUUCAGAAAGCAACCAAGUUCUCACCAAGGACAAAGCCUUAAACUGGAAUGGAUGAAAUCUUUCCCCUGAUAGGACAAAGCCUGUCCAGAUCCAAAAUAAACUCAGAGAGCUCAAAAUGCAAAAAGAGCAGAACUCGAAAUCUCAGAGAAGACUCACCAAACUGAAAGCAAGAGGCUACUCAAUGGAAGCAAUGCACACAGGAGUUUGGUAUCAAAGAAAAAAACAUUGCUUUCGGUGGCAGUCAACAAGACCAAGGAUGAUAAAAGCCAUUUCAAUUUCUCCCAUGUCUCUUUGAGAAUUUUCUUCUGGGAAGCUCACCACCAAGAAAUAUUCAGAUUGAUUUCCCAUUGCCAUGGUAUCAUUUUUCUAAUGUUAUGAUGCCAGGCUAAUCUCUACAUGAAAGCUAAAUGGUCAGUCAAGGCACAUCCCCACACUGCCUCUAGACAGAAAAGAGUGAGCGGGUGGAAUUCUGUUCCUAUACCCAGAAAGAAGAAAUUCAAGUUCAUGGUAGCAGAGCAGCCACUGUGCAGACAUGAGCUGUUGCAGGCCUGAUUGCCAAAGGUGUUCCACAGGCACAGGUACAAGCCAGCCCUGUGCCAAUGGCCAUUGAAAUCUCCAUUCACUUAUUUUAUUUUACAUCCUGCUGACACUUGUCUAAAUCAGUUUCCAGUCAUCUAUGGCAAAGCCCCAUCACCUCCUCCUGGCCUAAACUACUAUAAAAUGAGAGGAAAAAGAGCCAGUAGAUUGUCAACUCAGCAUCUACUGAGCUCCUGGUGCAUACCAAGCACACACUGUUAAGUUCUGGGAUGCAGAGAUAAUAAGACAUGGGCCCUACUUUCUAAAAGCUCCCAAUCAGCUCUUUCACAAUCCUCACGCUCUUCGCUGCAUUCAGAGUGCCAUGGUCUAAAUUAUGCACAGAGGAUAAAAUGGUCUAUUUUGGGGUAAUUCCUAUCACACUUCAUGGUGACUGCUUCCAUUUUUAAAACAGCCUCAAGUGUGACUAUUAAUCAGGAUAUCAUUAAAAAUAAUAUCUGUCAGGAUGACAUUUAUUUCGGUUCCAUAAAUAAUGUCACCAGCAUUGAAUUCCUGAACAGUGGAACAUGUGCAACAUUGCAGAAGAACUCUAGGUAAUAGAGAGGGCCAUGUCUUCUGCCUCUCUAACACAGAAUGCCUGGGACAGUGCCUGACACAUAGGAGAAGCUCAGCAAAUGCUGGCUGGAUUAAUUUUUACAUCUCUCAGAACAGUUCUUACAUUGUGACCCUGUUGUGAAAGUAUGUAAUUCUUCUUUGUGACAUCAAGCUCCAAGGUUGGGAAAGCUUCCAAAAUGUCUUAAUGUGUCUGAGAGAGCCAUUACUGUUUUUUGAAGUAUAUUUAUAUCUUUAGCCUCUGACGUCUCUUAGGUGAAUACAUUUCAUAAGUUCAUUAGUCAAUAUAGGAUCAGGUACACAGUUCCAUUGAUUUUAAAUCUAUUCGUAUGAAAGGUCAAGUGCUGCCCCUUUUGAAUUGGAUGAAAAUCAAUAUCAAUGUAGCUUUGUCCAUUUCUACUUUCCUCUAGCACUAACAUCCUAGGAAUAUUUAUUUUUUUAAAUUCAAUUUUGAGAUAAUUGCAGAUUCACGUGCAGUGGUGAAAAAUAAUACAGAGUGACUCUUUGUACCCUUCACCCCAUCUCCUUCUUUAGGGGUCAUUUUGCAUAACUAUGGUACAAUAUCAAAACUGGGAAACAGCCCUCAGGUGCAUGUGUAUGCUUGUGCUCACAUGUGUGCAUUUAGUUUUAUGAAAUUUUAUCCCAUGUGUAGAUUUGUAUAUUCACUACCACUGACAAGCCUCAGAACAGUUUCAUUGCCUCAAAGAUCCCUCAUGCUCCCCUGCUAUAGACCCAGCACUUCUCUUCCUGCCUGCAACCCCUGGUAACCACGAAGCUGUUCUCCAUCUCUAUAAUUUUGUUUAUGAAUGUUGCAUAAAGGGAACCAUAUAAUAUGUAACCUUUUGACAUUUGAGGUCCACCCAAGUAGUCGCACACAUCAAUAGUCUUUUUCCUUUCAUUACUGAAUAGUAUUCCACAGUGGGGGGUGUAGCACAGUUCAACCAUUCACCCACUGAAGGACUUCUGGGUUGUAUCCGAUUUGGAAAUGGGUUUUUUUUUUUUUUUAAAUAGGCACAUCAGCCAACAAUUUUACCAUACUCAAAAGCCUAAUACUUUGUUCCCUUUUUCAUUCCCAUCAUUGCCCUCUUUUAAGUGCCUUUCUUGAGUCCUAGAAUUUUUUUCUGAGAUUUAUUCACCAAAAUUCCACAUAGAAUUCAGACUGAAAAAUACCAUACUAUGAUGGUAGGACAGUGUUUCCUCUUGAAUCUCUAAUACUUUUCCUGAUUGGGCCUUACCUGUAGUCAGUGUCUUUGGCUACUGGAAGCUGAUAAGCUCGGAGAAUGAUCUCAUACUGUGUGCAGACAUAUUAUAGCCCAAGGAGCUAAAAGUAUACUUUGGAUUAUUAUUUUUCUCUAUAUUCCGUCUUUCAUUCGUCCAUCCUAAAACUCAUCUGCUGUUUUUCUGCAGCUCAGAGAAUCUGGAAAAAGCUUCCUUAUGAGUGUUAAUUUGUGUUCUCACCACCUGAUAAGACCUAGGAUGUCUGCAAACUUGGAGACUGCACCACACAGCCGCCCCCACCCCACUCUUGUGUAAGGGUUCAGGGCUUGCAGCCAGCUUUUCUCAAUUUCCUGUCACUGUCUCUCUUGCUAAUGAGAGUCUUAUCUAUGACUGCUUUCUGUUCAUCAGGAGGAAGGAAUUUAUUGGACUUUCCUGAACCAGCUUUCUGAGCGCUAGGAAACCAGCAUCAUUGCUGUCAUAGCCUGAAGAAGAAAGAGGCCCAUAAACUAUACCCAUGGUCCCACAUCUGUCUGCACAUCAUACCCAGGUAUCACCUCUGAUGCAUUAUAUCCAGGGAAAAACCAGAGCAUGAGCAUUUUCUAAAAGUCCUCAGGAUGCCCAUACAUUGGAAUGCUAUGCAAACACUUUUUUAGAAGACUGAGAAAGUUGUCUAUAUUCUAAUAAGGAAAAAAUCUCCAAGACAGAGUGCAAUAUGAAUGAAAUUGAUAUAAAUAUGUGUGCUACUUUUUACAUUGUAGGAGAUGAUAAUGUAUACAUGUCUUUACUUAUCUGGACAUAAAAUAUCUCUGGAAGGAUUUAUAAGAUUCUAGGGAAGUUCUCAUUGUGGUUUAGCAGGUCAAGGACCUGACGCUGUCUCUGUGAAGAUGAUACUGGUUCAAUCCCUGGCCUCACUUAGUGGGUUAAGUAUCAGCCCUUGCUGCAAGCUGUGGUAUAGGUUGCAAAUGCAGCUUGGAUCCAGUGCUGCCAUGGCUGUGGCAUAGACUGAAGCUACAGCGCUGAUUCAACCCCUAGCCCAGGAUCUUCCAUAUGCUGCAGAUGUAGCUGGAAAAAAAAAAAGACUCUAGGGAUAGUGGUUGCCUCUAAAUGAGUUCUGAGUGACUGAGAGAUUGGGGUCAGAGAGCAACUUUUCACUGCAUACCUUUUAAAAUCUGUUGAGUUCUGGUGGUGGUUCAGUGGUUUAAGAAACUGACUAGUAUCUAUGAGGAUGCAGGUUUGAUCUCUAGCCUCCUUCAGUGGGUUAAAGACCCAGUGUUACCAUAGCUGUGGUGUAGGUCAAAGACGUGUCUCAGAUCCCAUGUUGCUAUCGUUGUAGGCUGGUGUAGGCCUGCAGCUGCAACUCUGAUUCGACCCCUAGCUUGGGAACUUCCAUAUGCCACAUGUGCGGCCCUAAAAAGCAAAAAUAAAUUAAUUAAUUUAAUUAAAUCUGUUGAGUAU
rnacentral:lncRNA from 1 species